rnacentral:rRNA from 1 species
AUUGAACGCUGGCGGCAUGCCUUACACAUGCAAGUCGAACGGCAGCACGGGAGCUUGCUCCUGGUGGCGAGUGGCGAACGGGUGAGUAAUGCAUCGGAACGUGCCCUGAAGUGGGGGAUAACGUAGCGAAAGUUACGCUAAUACCGCAUAUUCUGUGAGCAGGAAAGCAGGGGAUCUUCGGACCUUGCGCUUUUGGAGCGGCCGAUGUCGGAUUAGCUAGUUGGUGGGGUAAAGGCCCACCAAGGCGACGAUCCGUAGCGGGUCUGAGAGGAUGAUCCGCCACACUGGAACUGAGACACGGUCCAGACUCCUACGGGAGGCAGCAGUGGGGAAUUUUGGACAAUGGGCGCAAGCCUGAUCCAGCCAUGCCGCGUGAGUGAAGAAGGCCUUCGGGUUGUAAACUCUUUACGGGGUAGAGGAAGGAGGUACCCGACGAAUAAGUACACGGCUAACUACGUAGCCAGCAG